CCUACGGGAGGCAGCAGUGAGGAAUAUUGGUCAAUGGCCGCAGGGCUGAACCAGCCAAGUCGCGUGAGGGAUGACGGUCCUAUGGAUUGUAAACCUCUUUUGUCAGGGAGCAAAGGGCGCCACGUGUGGCGUUUUGCGAGUACCUGAAGAAAAAGCAUCGGCUAACUCCGUGCCAGCAGCCGCGGUAAUACGGGGGAUGCGAGCGUUAUCCGGAUUUAUUGGGUUUAAAGGGUGCGCAGGCGGAAUGUCAAGUCAGCGGUAAAAUUUUGGGGCUCAACCCCGUCGUGCCGUUGAAACUGGCGGUCUUGAGUGAGCGAGAAGUAUGCGGAAUGCGUGGUGUAGCGGUGAAAUGCAUAGAUAUCACGCAGAACUCCGAUUGCGAAGGCAGCAUACCGGCGCUCAACUGACGCUCAUGCACGAAAGCGUGGGUAUCGAACAGGAUUAGAUACCCUGGUAGUC
rnacentral:rRNA from 1 species